rnacentral:rRNA from 1 species
AACAAACGCUGGCGGCGUGCCUAACACAUGCAAGUCGAACGAGAAAGUCGGUUUCGGCCGAUGAGUAAAGUGGCGCACGGGUGAGUAACGCGUGGAUAAUCUACCCUUUAGUCCGGAAUAACUUGCCGAAAGGUGAACUAAUACCGGAUGACAUCCCGGGUUCUCCGGAAACCGGGAUCAAAGAAGGCCUCUGCUUGCAAGCUUUUGCUGAAGGAUGAGUCCGCGUACCAUUAGCUAGUUGGUGGGGUAAUGGCCUACCAAGGUUAUGAUGGUUAGCUGGUCUGAGAGGAUGAUCAGCCACACUGGAACUGAAACACGGUCCAGACUCCUACGGGAGGCAGCAGUGAGGAAUAUUGCGCAAUGGGGGCAACCCUGACGCAGCAACGCCGCGUGAGUGAGGAAGGUUUUCGGAUUGUAAAGCUCUGUCGAGCGGAAAGAAAUGCACGAUGGCUAAUAUCCAUCAUGCUUGACGGUACCGCUAGAGGAAGCACCGGGCUAAACCG